GACGAACGCUGGCGGCGUGCUUAACACAUGCAAGUCGAACGGAAAGGCCCUGCUUUUGUGGGGUGCUCGAGUGGCGAACGGGUGAGUAACACGUGAGUAACCUGCCCUUGACUUUGGGAUAACUUCAGGAAACUGGGGCUAAUACCGGAUAGGAGCUCCUGCUGCAUGGUGGGGGUUGGAAAGUUUCGGCGGUUGGGGGUGGACUCGCGGCUUAUCAGCUUGUUGGUGGGGUAGUGGCUUACCAAGGCUUUGACGGGUAGCCGGCCUGAGAGGGUGACCGGCCACAUUGGGAUUGGGAUACGGCCCAGCCUCCUACGGGAGGCAGCAGUGGGGAAUAUUGCACAAUGGGCGGAAGCCUGAUGCAGCAACGCCGCGUGCGGGAUGACGGCCUUCGGGUUGUAAACCGCUUUCGCCUGUGACGAAGCGUGAGUGACGGUAAUGGGUAAAGAAGCACCGGCUAACUACGUG
rnacentral:rRNA from 1 species